rnacentral:rRNA from 1 species
AGUGAACGCUGGCGGUAGGCCUAACACAUGCAAGUCGAACGGCAGCACAGUAAGAGCUUGCUCUUACGGGUGGCGAGUGGCGGACGGGUGAGGAAUACAUCGGAAUCUACUUUUUCGUGGGGGAUAACGUAGGGAAACUUACGCUAAUACCGCAUAUGACCUACGGGUGAAAGCAGGGGAUCUUCGGACCUUGCGCGAUUGAAUGAGCCGAUGUCGGAUUAGCUAGUCGGCGGGGUAAAGGCCCACCAAGGCGACGAUCCGUAGCUGGUCUGAGAGGAUGAUCAGCCACACUGGAACUGAGACACGGUCCAGACUCCUACGGGAGGCAGCAGUGGGGAAUAUUGGACAAUGGGCGCAAGCCUGAUCCAGCCAUACCGCGUGGGUGAAGAAGGCCUUCGGGUUGUAAAGCCCUUUUGUUGGGAAAGAAAAGCAGCAGGUUAAUACCCCGCUGUUCUGACGGUACCCAAAGAAUAAGCACCGGCUAACUUCGUG